rnacentral:rRNA from 1 species
AGUGAACGCUGGCGGUAGGCCUAACACAUGCAAGUCGAACGGCAGCACAGUAAGAGCUUGCUCUUACGGGUGGCGAGUGGCGGACGGGUGAGGAAUACAUCGGAAUCUACUUUUUUGUGGGGGAUAACGUAGGGAAACUUACGCUAAUACCGCAUACGACCUACGGGUGAAAGCAGGGGAUCUUCGGACCUUGCGCGAUUGAAUGAGCCGAUGUCGGAUUAGCUAGUUGGAGGGGUAAAGGCCCACCAAGGCGACGAUCCGUAGCUGGUCUGAGAGGAUGACCAGCCACACUGGAACUGAGACACGGCCCAGACUCCUACGGGAGGCAGCAGUGGGGAAUAUUGGACAAUGGGGGCAAGCCUGAUCCAGCCAUACCGCGUGGGUGAAGAAGGCCUUCGGGUUGUAAAGCCCUUUUGUUGGGAAAGAAAAGCAGCAGGUUAAUACCCCGCUGUUCUGACGGUACCCAAAGAAUAAGCACCGGCUAACUUCGUG